GACGGGGACCCGCACAAGCGGUGGAUGAUGUGGUUUAAUUCGAUGCAACGCGAAAACUUACCCACCUUUGACAUGGCAGGAAUCCCGAAGAGAUUUGGGAGUGCUCGAAAGAGAACCUGCACACAGGUGCUGCAUGGCUGUCGUCAGCUCGUGUCGUGAGAUGUUGGGUUAAGUCCCGCAACGAGCGCAACCCUUGCCAUUAGUUGCUACGAAAGGGGCACUCUAAUGGGACUGCCGGUGACAAACCGGAGGAAGGUGGGGAUGACGUCAAGUCCUCAUGGCCCUUAUAGGUGGGGCUACACACGUCAUACAAUGGCCGGUACAGAGGGUUGCCAACCCGCGAGGGGGAGCCAAUCCCAGAAAACCGAUCGUAGUCCGGAUUGCAGUCUGCAACUCGACUGCAUGAAGUCGGAAUCGCUAGUAAUCGCGGAUCAGCAUGUCGCGGUGAAUACGUUCCCGGGCCUU
rnacentral:rRNA from 1 species